GAAAGGCCUCUCAUCUCUCGGUGUUGAAACCGAGGUUGGAAAUUUGAAGUGCCCACUUGACCCUCGGCUCCAGGAGAUGAGAGGGGGAAGCACCCGAGGAGGAAGGAGGAGACUCGAAUGUCCUGACCACCCCCGCGCCAACCAAGCCGGACAGGGAGAUCCCGGCGGCAGCGGUGAGGCCCAAAAUGAAAAAAGAUGAAGAAAGCUCUGUAAUGAAUAUGAGGAAUCCCCACCAAAGUCCAGAAGGCACCGUGUUGCUUCUCCUGCUCUGCAGUGAGGUCAAAUUGCCUUUUAAAUACCUCUGGCAGGGAUUUGGGCCAGCGAGCCACACCCAAGGGGAAGAGGACAAGGCAGAAGUCGAACGGGGGAUCGACCCAACCCGGGGAGACCAGGACACCCCUGAGAGGAGAUGGGAGUCGUGCUGCCCACCAGCCAAAAAUAAGCAUCAGAUCAUCUACUCAUCCCAAAACUCUUGGGUAAAUUUCCUGCUAGCAUGAAAUUAUUUGAACCAGGAUCAAUCUCUCUGACAUUUUUAGAUUCCAGAUGAAAAGGUGUUUGGAUUUUUCCUCCCAGAAUAUUUCCCAAUCCAUUUUCAGGAGAAAGAACUCUGGUUAGGAGGUGGCUUUUCCUCCUCAAAAUCCAGUCAGGGGAGAGAGAGGUGGUCCAGGGAGCUAUGAAAUGGGAAGAAAUAAUAAGGAAAGUCAGAGAGAGAUUAAAAAGAGAUUUAAAUUUCCCAGGGAAAUUUACCUUAUGUCCCCUUCAAAAGAAAGAAUAAACAUCAGUCACAUGAGGCUCCCCGCUGGGAUUGGGAUUAUAUUCCCUGUGAGUGAGGCUUGGAUUUGGUUUUAGGAGAGAAAAAAGAAUCUUCACGCAGGUUCUCUAAAGGUGCGUUUCCGAAGGCGAUAUGGAAGAGAACUCUUGCCCUGAAGCGGUGGUAGAGUCUGAAUUGCAACCCAGGCGGGCAUUUUUCAGAGCCUUCACCUACCUACUACUGGGAGCGCCCCCGACCGGCAGGCAUCCGCUCAGGUGGAGAGCUGCAGCCUCAGUCGUCGGCAGAAGCUGACCUCCAGGAGAGCAAGAAGGACUAGAUGAAAAGAUGCUGGCAGCAGGCAAGGACCGCGGCCCAAUUUCCAAACCUCCGCUUGGCUGGGAUUCUCCAAGGAUACUGGAAGAAUGAAGACUGUCGUGAGAGAAGACAUUCCAUCUGAAUCGGGCGGCAAGUGGUGGAUAAAGCCAAGGUUUGAAAUUUGAAGUGCCCACUUACCCACGGCUCGAGGAGAUGAGGAGGGGAAGCACCCGAGGAGGAAGGAGGAGACUCGUAUGUCCUGACCACCCCUGUGCCAACCAAGCUGGCCAGGGAGAUGCCGGCGGCCGUGAGGAGGCCCAGAAUGUGAGGUCGAGUUGCCUUUUAGAUACCUCUGGCAGGGAUUUGGGACAGAGAGCCGCACCCAAGAGGAAGAGGACAAGGCAGAUGUCGACUGGGGGAUCGAGCCAACACGUGGAGACCAGGACAGCCCUGAGCGGAGAUGGGAGUCGACCUGUCCACCAGAAAAAAAUAAGUAUCCAAUCAUCUACUAAUUCCAAAAUUCUUGGAAGAAUUUCCUGCUAGUAUCAAAUUAUUUCAACCAGGAUCAAUCUCUCUGACAUGUUUAGAUUGCAGAUGAAAAUUGUUUGGAUUUUUCCUCCCAGAAUAUUUCCCCAGUCCAUUUUCAGGAGAAAGAACUCUGGUUAGGAGUUCUCCAUAUCCAGUCAGGGGAGAGAGAGGUGGUCCGGGGAGCUAUGAAAUAGGAAGAAAUAAUAAGGAAAGUCAAAGAGAGAUUAAAAAGAGAUUUAAAUUUCCCAGGGAGAUUUUCCUCAUGUCCCCUUCAAAAGAAAGAGUAAACAUCAGUCACAUGAGGCUCCCCGCUGUAGAAGAGUUCACUCUCCUGACUACUGGGAUUGGGAUUAUAUUCCAUGUGAGUGAGGCUUGGAUUAGUUUUAGGCGAUAAAAAAGACAAUUCAUGCAGGUUCUCUAAAGGUGCGUUUCUGAAGGCGAUAUGGAAGAGAACUCUUGGCAUGAAGCAGUGAUAGAGUCCGAGUUAAAAGCCAGGUGGAUAUUUUUCAGAGCCUUCACCUACCUACUUCUGGGAGCGCCCCCGACCGGAAGGCAUCCCCAGAGGCGGAGAGCUGCAGCCUCAGACGUCGGCAGAAGCUGACCUACGAGAGAGCGAGAACGGCUAGAUGAAAAGAUGCUGGCAGCAGGCAAGGUAUUUUCUUUUUCCACCCCGGGACUGAAGCCCGGUUUCCAAACCUCCGAAUGGCUCAGAUUCUCCAAGGAUACUGGAAGAAGGAAGACUGCUGUGAGAGACGACCUUCCAUCUGAAUCGAGCGGCAAGUUGUGCAUAAAGGUGAAACCCUUUAAGGCCCUUACCUAAUCCCACCAGCUGUAUCCUAGGUCUUUGGGUCCAGGAAGAUGGAGGAAAAAAUUCGUUUUCUUUAGGCAAAGAAUCUCCUGCUCUUAUUUAUCAAGUUAAGGUCUUCACAGCCUGAAAGGAUCCUUUGGUCUGUUGGAGAAGAAAGACGGAGGCGAUUGGCUCGAAAAUGAAGAAAUCAUGGCCUAAGGUCUUGGGCUGCCAGGAAGUUUGCAAAGGAGGGCCUGGCUAGGACGCGAUUCAAAGUGUAUUUCUAGCCCCUGCGAAUUUCGCCGCACCACAGGAAUGGGCCAUCUAAGUUGGGAAAACUGCCAUUGAAUGUCAAUUUCCUCCCUCCAUAUCUAUUUAGGAAGCAAAUCAAAUGUCUUCUGCCAUGGGUUUCCUUCUCCUGACUCCUGACGUUGGGAUCCUUUUCCCUAGGAUCCUUGUCCCUAGGAGGAUUGGAUGGAUUUAAAGUGAGAGAAUUUAAAAGACCUGCCUGUCUGGUGGUCAUAAGAAUUAAUGGUGGCUUGGGAAAAGGAAUUCCUUGCUGCUUGCCAGGAAAGUCCUGUUAUCGCUCUGUGCUCAAACCAAGGUUUGAAAUUUGAAGUGUCCCCUUAACCCACGGCUCCAGGAGAUGAAGAGGGGAAGCACCCGAGGAGGAAGGAGGAGACUGGCAUGUCCUGACCACCCCUGCGCCAACGGACCUGGCCAGGGAGAUCCCGGCGGCAGUGAGGAGGCCCAGAAUGGGAGGAGCAGUCCUUCGCUUGGGAGUGAGAUGGUGAUCGACAGGCUCUCAGGGAGAGAGAAGGCCUGUUAUGUGGGUGGGAGGGAUGGACUAUGUCCUUGGGUCUCUUGGAAAUGUGAUUGACUCCUCCAGCUUUUAGCUUUCUUUUUUUUUCCUGGAAGAAAGAAAAUAAAGAAAGCUUUGUGAUGUCUAUAAGAAAUCCCCAACAAAGGCCAAAAGCCACUGUGUUGCUUUUCCUGCGCUGCAGUGAGGUCGAGUUGCCUUCUAGAUACCUCUGGCAGGGAUUUGGGACAGAGAGCCGCACCCAAGAGGAAGAGGACAAGGCAGAAGGCGACUGGGGGAUCAAGCCAACACGGGGAGACCAGGACACCCCUGAGAGGAGAUGGGACCUGUCCACCAGCCAAAGGCGGAGAGAUGCAGCCUCAGACAUCGGCAGAAGCUGACCUCCAGAAGAGGGAGAAGGGUUAGAUGAAAAGAUGCUGGCAGCAGCCAAGGAUGCUGGAAGAAUGAAGACCGCCGUGAGAGAAGACCUUCCAUCUGGAUCGAGCGGC